GGAUGUGAGGGUGAUCUGGUUGUGACAUCUGUCACCCCAUUGAUCACCAGGGUUGAUUGGGCUGAUCUGGCAGUCUAGGCAAGUGGUCCCUUCCUCCCUUACCACCCCAUGUGCCUCCUUUUGAAGCUAUGUGCUUACUCGAAGAGGAUGGCCUUCCCCAAUAGAGGACUGUUCUUUGGUCAAGGGUAUAUGAAUAGCUGCGCUCCCUUUCUAGAAUUUAGAGUUUCUGAACAAACUCUCAAGGUCCAUUUGUAAGGGAACAUAAGGUUUUAUUAUAUUAUUUUUAAAAAAGACAUCACCUUUAUCUUGGGCUUUGAUGUCUC
rnacentral:snRNA from 1 species